rnacentral:rRNA from 1 species
AACGAACGCUGGCGGCAUGCCUAACACAUGCAAGUCGAACGAGACCUUCGGGUAUAGUGGCGCUCGGGUGCGUAACGCGUGGGAACCUGCCCUUAGGUUCGGAAUAACUCCCCGAAGGGGGUGCUAAUACCGGAUAGUGUCUUCGGACCAAAGAUUUAUCGCCUUUGGAUGGGCCCGCGUUGGAUUAGCUAGUUGGUAGGGUAAAAGCCUACCAAGGCGACGAUCCAUAGCUGGUCUGAGAGGAUGAUCAGCCACACUGGGACUGAGACACGGCCCAGACUCCUACGGGAGGGAGCAGUGGGGAAUAGUGGACAAUGGGCGAAAGCCUGAUCCAGCAAUGCCGCGUAAGUGAUGAAGGCCGUAGGGUAGUAAAGCUCUUUUACCCGGGAUGAUAAUGACAGUACCGGGAGAAUAAGCCCCGGCUAACUCCGUG